rnacentral:rRNA from 1 species
GAUGAACGCUGGCGGCGUGCCUAAUACAUGCAAGUCGAGCGAACAGACGAGGAGCUUGCGCCCCUGACGUUAGCGGCGGACGGGCGAGUAAGACGUGGAUAACCUACUUAUAAUACUGGGAUAACUUCGGGAAACAGGAGCUAAUACCGCAUAACAUGUUCAACGGCAUAGUUCAACAGUGAAAGACGGUUUUGCCGUCACAUAUAGAUGGAUCCGCGCCGCAUUAGCUAGUUGGUAAGGUACCGGCUUACCAAGGCAACGAUGCGUAGCCGACCUGAGAGGGUGAUCGGCCACACUGGAACUGAGACACGGUCCAGACUCCUACGGGAGGCAGCAGUAGGGAAUCUUGCGCAAUGGGCGAAAGCCUGACGGAGCAACGCCGCGUGAGUGAAGAAGGUCUUCGGAUCGUAAAACUCUUUUAUUAGGGAAGAAAAAAUGUGUAAGUAACUAUGCACGUCUUGACGGUACCUAAUCAGAAAGCCACGGCUAACUUCGUG